CGUCGGGGGAGGAGGGGGCAGACCUGUGAAGAGCAGAGGUCCGGUCGUCAGCAGCGCUCAUUGACCCUGGUCUCCACGUAGGCUUCACGCAGGCUUCACUCACAGGGUCAGGUCCUCGGCCUCCUGCCUCAUGAUGCUCACUCGGCUCUUCUUGGGCAGGACGGGCGAGUUCUGGUCGCUGAUCUUCUGAUAGAACAACAUGUAGGCGUUCCAGUACCUUCUCCGCACGUCGGGGUACGGAUUGGCUGCACAGAGAGACUUCGCGUUAAGGAGCUAUUUGGAAUUUAUAAAGGACCGAGGAGGAUGUGGAGACGCUGCAUACGUCUCUGCCAGAGACCUGUCAAUCAGCGUGCAUCUACAUGGACCAUCAUUGACUAAAUGAACAUCAUGCUGUGUUGGAGGAGGAGGAGUCGCCCCCUGCUGGUCACUACAGAGAAUGCAGCUUUACGCGUGAAACUUUGGCGUCACUUUAAAGAACUGAAGGUUGUUUCUUCUGGUCUAACUUAAGGCCAGUGGAGCGUUCUUAUGUGUUAAAGCACGUCGGCAUAAGAUCCACGCAGACGGUCUCUUACAUUGGUCGUAGACUUUGGGGCGGUACUCUCCACCAAAGCACUCGUACUCCAGGGUUUCGUCGUUCAUGUCGAACUCCUCCACCACGUUGUCGUUGAACUUGUACCAACGUCCCCGAGCGCUGCCGCUGAGACGAGGGGAGACAGACAGAGGUCACGUUGGACCGCAGCCAACCCGUCAGGAGAGGACGAGGAGACACCAGACUGAAGGAGGCUCCUGUGGGUUCCUCUUAACACGCAUGACGCUGCCUCCCAAUGUGCUGCUCUACACACCGGUCAUGUGAUUGGAACAGAAAAGCUGCCUCAGCCUCGAUCCUAACAAACCAUUAAAAAUAUUCUUUAAAGGUUUUUACUACACUGUUGCAAUUGUGUAUUAAAUGCUAAUGGGAUUUUUGUUGUUCCAGUCUAGUGGAUUUGUUAAUGAACCCAAAGCAGCAACAUGAAUAUUCAUGUUGCAUCAAACUCGUAAUACAGCAACAACGACUCACAAGGAAAACAGGACAACAAAAGGGUAAAAAAAGGUUUUCAACAGCAAAGCUUGUUUUUUUUUUUUAGGUUGGUGCUUCAGGCUCAGGCUCCCACAUCUGGCUCACCCUCCCACAUCAGGCUCACCCUCCCACAUCAGGCUCACCCUCCCACAUCUGGCUCACCCUCCCACAUCUGGCUCACCCUCCCACAUCUGGGUUCAGGUUUGCAUCAUCAUGCCGUGACCAAACCUAGGACGCCCCCCUACCGUCUGUCCUUGAUGAAGGAGUAGUAGUGGCCGGCGUGCGCCUGCCCGCUGUGGACCACGACCCCCACCAGCUCGUAAUUCUCAGAGAUGGUGACCUUCUUCCUGGGCGAGCCCCCCGAGGGCCCCUCGCCGCGCCCCUCGCCGCCCUCUCCGCUGCAGUCCUGACGGGCCAUCCCGGAGACGGUGUAGGGCUCCAUGUUCAGCACCCAGGGGAACUGAGCAGACAACGCAGAGGUCAGAGGUCGCGGCGCCUCGCAGCGCCCGGCGAGGAAAGACUCCGUACCCGGAUCUGCUCGUCGUAUUUGAUGGAGCGCCCGCUCUCCCAGUCGAAGCCGAAGCGCAUGAGGUGGAUGCAGAGGACGCUGGGCAGGGACUUGAUGCAGGUCCUCUUCACCGUGGUUCUCUGUGCGGAUCAAAGGGCGCGUGAGUCGGCGUGAGGUCGGGGGGGGGCGGGGCGCGCGGAAGCGCUACGCACCUUCUCCUUGCACUUCUCGCAGUAGUAGGCGUUGCUGCCCUCCAGCACCUCGCCCCUCACAAACUGGUCCAGGGAGAUCUCCAGGCUUUGGCAGGACGUCACGCCGAGGUUCAACGCCAUGAAGGUUUCUUCUCGCUCGUACCUGCGUGCAACAGAAGAACAGGAAAGGGUCAGACAGCCCCCUCCAAGCCAUGAGCAUCAGAAGGGGAAACAAUGCCGUGGAAGGUCCCCGCUCACCGGUGAGGACAGUCUUUACAGAUCUUCUGGUCGGAGAAGAUUCCCUGAAACGUGUUUUUGAAGAUCUGCUCCCGACCCAUUUUCUGCUGGAGAGAGUCUUCUCGUCAAUCAAAAUCACCAGGAUCAAACGCGCCUUUGCCUGUGUGUGUGAGGGGGAUGAUGGGGGGAUGAUGGGGGGGUGUUACCUUGAGAUGCUCGUCCAGCUGGUCCACCAGGCUGGUGAAGAACUCGUAAGCAUCCUGCUGCUCCCUCACGUACAACUCCUUGUUCCACAUCUUGAAGAUCUGCAACACAUGCGGAUGAAUAACACAUCGGUCUAAUUCAAUCUUCUCCUUAAAAAGUGAAAGUCAAAGCCUAAAAUACUCAUAUGUGCAAUUUUGUGUACGUGCAUUUAUGUAUUUAAUGAUGAGUUGAGCGGCGUCACCUUCCAGAAGUUCUCUGGGAUGUAGUACUGCAGCUUGCUCUCCAUCAGGUGGCCGAACAGAGACUGGACCUGGUAGAAGACGCUCUCCUCCGGCUGAUCCGUGUCGUCCUCGAUGGACAGGAAGGCCUUCAACAGAAGAAGAAACAGACGUACUGGCGGACGUGGACGCAGAAAGCUCACAGGCUAGCGGCUCACAGGCUAGCGGCUCACAGGCUAGCGGCUCACAGGCUAGCGGCUCACAGGCUAGCGGCUCACAGGCUAGCGGCUCACAG
ensembl:lncRNA